UACGAGGGGGGCUAGCGUUGCUCGGAAUCACUGGGCGUAAAGCGCACGUAGGCGGAUCUUUAAGUCAGGGGUGAAAUCCUGGAGCUCAACUCCAGAACUGCCUUUGAUACUGGGGAUCUCGAGUCCGGAAGAGGUGAGUGGAACUCCGAGUGUAGAGGUGAAAUUCGUAGAUAUUCGGAAGAACACCAGUGGCGAAGGCGGCUCACUGGUCCGGUACUGACGCUGAGGUGCGAAAGCGUGGGGAGCAAACAGG
rnacentral:rRNA from 1 species